rnacentral:lncRNA from 1 species
UAGGGCUAUCUGAGACUCUGAACAAUUCUCACAUCUGAAUUGUUCCACAGCUGUCACACUGGUAACCAUGUGGAAUGUCUUCCAUCAAGCUAUAUUACCCAUUCCCUUUGAAGUCUGGAGUCCCAUGCCAGCACUUUCAGACAUCAGGGAGCUUUCUUGGAGGUAUCGAGGCCAAGUGUGACUGCCAGGAAGGAGCUGGGAGCAGCCAAAGAGACUGAGCAUGUCAGACUUCUCUCCCAGCCUGCCACACACACUUAAAACCCAAAGGAAAUAAGCAGGGAUCAGUGGGAGGAAGGGAGCCAACCAGGUGAGCAACCACAUCUGUCUGAAGUCUAAAGGCAACAGGAAAGGAUCCCUGGCAUUUAGAUUUGUUU